rnacentral:rRNA from 1 species
CUUGGUAUCAAUAGCGAAGGGGGUACACCUGUUCCCAUCCCGAACACAGCAGUUAAGCCCUUCAGCGUCGAUGGUAGUAUGGCUUUGCGCCAUGUGAGAGUAGACCGAUGCCAAGA